GACUCCCAAGAGUUGAAGAACUCCUUCCUGUGAAGCUAUCGAAGAGGUUUAAUCGAAAGUGCUAAUCGAUUCUCUCCUUCAAAGAUCACAUUCCGGUAAGUUCAUCUUCGAUUCUUCCUCCUCUUCUUCUUCAUUUUCUUUGUUCUGUCCAUCUUCGAUCUCUUUGUUCUUCGAUUCUUCCACUUUUUUCAUUUUUUUUCCAGAUUUUUUUUUCUGUUUCUUCGCAGCAAACGAAGAAUGAAGACAUCAAUUUUCAUUUUUUUUUUCCAGAUUUCUGUUCUGUCCAGAUUUCUGUUUCCUCUUUUUUCAUUUUUUUUUUCCAGAUUUUUGUACUCCUCCUUGGCAGCAAACGACUCCCUCUGCUCUAGUGACGACUCUUCUUCUCGUCAGUUCAAUGGAAAAAAGAUUUGUAUGGAAACCAAAAUUGAUAAAGUGCGAGUUGAAUGUAUUAAUUUCGUACUAAAGAAUAUGAGUUGAAAUCCAAUGUCAGAAAUUUCUUGGAGAGAUGCAAAAUAUGAUCAAAGAAUUCAAGAACUUACUUUUUUCA